UAUAAAGAGAAGUAGAGAACACCAUUUCAAUUUAGAGAGAUACAGGCUAAGCAAAUUGUUCCUUGCAUUCCUAUGAGCAGUCAUCUCAUUAUAUAGUUGCACAUACACCACAACAUGGGGGAACUGAUCUGCAGAUAAAGACGGUCCCAGCAUUAUGGUUACACAAAAUUUUGAUUUAAUAUCAUUUUUCAGCACCUCACCAUAAAAACUUUCACAGCAUAGAAUCUGUUAAAUGAUACUAGAAAAAGCUGAACCAUAUUUG
rnacentral:misc_RNA from 1 species